UUAGAUUCAGCACCAGAUAAUGUCUGAACCUACAGGUAGAUUAGGACCAGAAUUAGAUUCAGCACCAGAUAAUGUCUGAACCUACAGGUAGAUUAGGACCAGAAUUAGAUUCAGCACCAGAUAAUGUCUGAACCUACAGGUAGAUUAGGACCAGAAUUAGAUUCAGCACCAGAUAAUGUCUGAACCUACAGGUAGAUUAGGACCAGAAUUAGAUUCGGCACCAGAUAAUGUCUGAACCUACAGGUAGAUUAGGACCAGAAUUAGAUUCAGCACCAGAUAAUGUCUGAACCUACAGGUAGAUUAGGACCAGAAUUAGAUUCGGCACCAGAUAAUGUCUGAACCUACAGGUAGAUUAGGACCAGAAUUAGAUUCAGCACCAGAUAAUGUCUGAACCUACAGGUAGAUUAGGACCAGAAUUAGAUUCAGCACCAGAUAAUGUCUGAACCUACAGGUAGAUUAGGACCAGAAUUAGAUUCGGCACCAGAUAAUGUCUGAACCUACAGGUAGAUUAGGACCAGAAUUAGAUUCAGCACCAGAUAAUGUCUGAACCUACAGGUAGAUUAGGACCAGAAUUAGAUUCAGCACCAGAUAAUGUCUGAACCUACAGGUAGAUUAGGACCAGAAUUAGAUUCAGCACCAGAUAAUGUCUGAACCUACAGGUAGAUUAGGACCAGAAUUAGAUUCAGCACCAGAUAAUGUCUGAACCUACAGGUAGAUUAGGACCAGAAUUAGAUUCAGCACCAGAUAAUGUCUGAACCUACAGGUAGAUUAGGACCAGAAUUAGAUUCAGCACCAGAUAAUGUCUGAACCUACAGGUAGAUUAGGACCAGAAUUAGAUUCAGCACCAGAUAAUGUCUGAACCUACAGGUAGAUUAGGACCAGAAUUAGAUUCAGCACCAGAUAAUGUCUGAACCUACAGGUAGAUUAGGACCAGAAUUAGAUUCGGCACCAGAUAAUGUCUGAACCUACAGGUAGAUUAGGACCAGAAUUAGAUUCAGCACCAGAUAAUGUCUGAACCUACAGGUAGAUUAGGACCAGAAUUAGAUUCAGCACCAGAUAAUGUCUGAACCUACAGGUAGAUUAGGACCAGAAUUAGAUUCGGCACCAGAUAAUGUCUCCGUGUAUUCUUAAUCCUGAUCCAGUAAAAACGUAAAAAUGCUUUUGUUUUUUUUGCUCCUUUUGGUCCCCGGGACCAGGAUGAAGAAAUACAACUAUAGAGAGAGGAUUCAUUCUUCA